UACGUAGGGUGCGAGCGUUGUCCGGAAUUAUUGGGCGUAAAGCGCACGUAGGCGGCCUGAUAAGUCGGGUGUGAAAGCCCUGGGCUCAACCCAGGAAGUGCACUCGAAACUGUCAGGCUUGAAUAUGGAAGAGGGUCGCGGAAUUCCCGGUGUAGAGGUGAAAUUCGUAGAUAUCGGGAGGAACACCAGUGGCGAAGGCGGCGACCUGGGCCAAUAUUGACGCUGAGGUGCGAAAGCGUGGGGAGCAAACAGG
rnacentral:rRNA from 1 species